ACGGGUGCGUAACGCGUGGGAACCUGCCUUGAGGUUCGGAAUAACUUCCCGAAAGGGAUGCUAAUACCGGAUGAUGUCUUCGGACCAAAGAUUUAUCGCCUUUAGAUGGGCCCGCGUUGGAUUAGCUAGUUGGUGGGGUAAAGGCCUACCAAGGCGACGAUCCAUAGCUGGUCUGAGAGGAUGAUCAGCCACACUGGGACUGAGACACGGCCCAGACUCCUACGGGAGGCAGCAGUGGGGAAUAUUGGACAAUGGGCGAAAGCCUGAUCCAGCAAUGCCGCGUGAGUGAUGAAGGCCUUAGGGUUGUAAAGCUCUUUUACCAGGGAUGAUAAUGACAGUACCUGGAGAAUAAGCUCCGGCUAACUCCGUGCCAGCAGCCGCGGUAAUACGGAGGGAGCUAGCGUUGUUCGGAAUUACUGGGCGUAAAGCGCACGUAGGCGGCGAUUCAAGUCAGAGGUGAAAGCCCGGGGCUCAACCCCGGAACUGCCUUUGAAACUAGAUUGCUAGAAUCCUGGAGAGGUUAGUGGAAUUCCGAGUGUAGAGGUGAAAUUCGUAGA
rnacentral:rRNA from 1 species